GUUUAGCUCUUUAGAGUGAUAGCAUCUAGCAAUUUUUCGUACUAAUUCUAUUUUACAGUUGCUGUGUUACAGUCGCGGUGAACAAUUAUUAUCGGUGUAUUACUAGCGUAAUUAACGUAAACAGAGGUAAAAUGUUUGUACUGGUAACGUCAAAAUGUUCUUCGACGAUCAUACGUGGAAGGAUUAUAGACUUGGAUGGGAUACUUAAAAUAUAGCACUACGUCUUAUACGAGCAGCAAACGAGUAAUUGAAUCACUCGCAAAUUAGCUGAAAUCCAUAAAUUGAAAAUUCAGUAGAAAUUCAAAACGUCAAUUUAGAAUUCCUUUAGACGAACAACAGAAACUUCCCAAGAAGAAUCCAAAAUUUGCGAUCAAUAGCGUAUAUCUGGCAGAGACAACAACACAUAUUUAAUUCUCUCACCAAAUCUCACUAAGCUGAACUUAGUUUAUCAUUAUGUUGUUCAGAGAGAAAAGUUAGAGAACGAAACACAUGGGUUCGCGUCCGAUUAUCGCAAUUCCAUUCGCCGACGAUCGAAUGGCACGAAUUUUCCCGCAGACAUUGUUGGAAAGCAUGAAAGCACGCGUAAAAGACGAAGACGCCGACGAAUCCGAGAACUUUGCUCCGCGGCAAAUCGACUUGUCACGAAAUCCUAUUGCCGCCUCCUGCAUGUUUCCAGCGUUCUUCUCGUUUUCCACCUUCUCAUCCUCCUCACCUCCCUGUCGUGAAACCCGAUAAAACCUCGUUCGACGGCGUGCUCAAAUUUUCGAGACGCUUAGCUCCAUGAUGCUCGCCCGAAAUCCGAUUUUCCACGACGUAUUCACCUUUGCUUGCGAUGAUUAUUUCUUGCCCCAUGCGUUUCGUUACGCACAUAAAAUUUCCAUUGUAUUCGAUUCAUUCUGGAUAGGUUUGAUAGAAACGUUAAUCCUUUGCAUGUUGACCAUAUUUUUCCUACCCUCUCUCCUACGCUUUUAUAGCGAAACUUUUUAAAAAUGAAGAAUUCGUCUUCGAGGAGGAGAACAUUCUAAGUUCGUGAAUUUAAAUUUGUAAAUUGAAAAACAAUUCUCACGUUAACAAUACGAGUACAAAAUACUAAUGAAAUUAAUAGAAAGGAAUAUAAAGUGCUAAUAGAGAUUAAAAAUAGUAGCAAAAGUUCCUAGUAUACAUGAGAUACAUUGACUUUUUUAUUUCUCAAAGGAAAUUCUACUCUUCGUGUAAGUGGAAGAUAAAGUUGAGCCAUUUACCUCUUACGUGCUCAAUUCGUAAGUGUCACGCUCAUGUAGCACGGAAAAGAUGAUGAAAAUGGAAUUAGAAGAAUGUUACUUUAUCUAUCCUUUGAUUUUUCUAACAAAGAAUUAUUAUUCACUUUUCAUUUUACUCGAUCAACCGAUUAAUUCAUAGAAGAUAUAGCAAAUUCUUACAAGUCUUACAAGAUUCGAAGAAGAAUAAAGAAUCACAAUGUAAAAUUGUUGAUUUACGUUUAGAUAAAACUGCUGUAGAUUCGCGUAAUCUGAGUUCCAUUUACGAUGUUUUGCGUGCAUGGUUCAGUAAAAAGUAGACAGUGUACAGAUCCAAAUGGGUUUUCAUGAAGUAUCGUGAUGAAAAUUCAUAGGGGCGUGGGUGGGUGGAAUCUGCGUUACGUGUCUGAGACACGAUGCAACGCGUGACGCGCGAAACGACGCUGCAAGCAAAAAGGGUUAAAGAAGGAACGUGACUUUUUUCCUUUGUACACGGUGCACAGGUAUCGCGAAAGAAUGCGCUUUAAAAUUCAAAUUCCCGUGAAGCUGUCGUGAGGCCAAGUCGUCAGACAAACUAAAAGGAACUGUUAUGUUACUGUAACAGUUGCAAAUAAUGAAAAAUAAUGUACAAACUGCGUAGAAUUUCUUAUCAGAUGAUUAACGAUAAAAACCAUCCCACUUACGUUAUCGUUCAAACGUUUGGAAUUAUUUCUAGCGUUCGUGAUUUACGAAGAAUAAUAAAAUAAAAGGACCAACAUAUUAAGAUGGAACAAAGAUACGAAGGAAUAAAAGUGAAUUAAAUUGAAAAAUAAAAAAAAUGUAGAUAUUUUGAUACAUUAUCGAUACUUGUACAAAAAGCCA